GCCGCCGUAGUCUAAAGGUAUGACAACGGUCUGAAAAGCCAGCGAUAUCUGGGUUCAAAUCCCAGCGGCGGCG
rnacentral:tRNA from 1 species